GUGCUCCCUUUCGCAGCACAGAGAAGAUUAGCAUGGCCCCUGGGAAAGGAUGACACACAAAUAGGUGAAGCGUUCCAUAUUUAA
rnacentral:snRNA from 1 species